UGGCUGGGGAAUUGGAUGCUACAUCUUCAGUCUCCCUCAAACAAAGCCAUCCCUCUCUCAUCCACAUUUUACUCCGCUUUCGGCACACUGUGGGUGUCACUUGGAUGUUGUUCAGAGACAGCAGCAGGCCUGACUGAGGCUUCACUGAAAGGGCCGCGGCGGCUGUGAAGGCUCAGGACAAAGUGUGGCCGCAGGCUUGUUUGGGGACAAGCGCUCUUCCGCCUGGCUGCUCUGUGCAGUGUGCGAGUCACCAUGGGGACAGGGAGAGUGUCCGGAUGGAUGCAGGCUAUUCAUCAUGUCCUGUGAAGCCAAUGUUAGGUGGGUGAUGACCAGCCUCCUGGAUCUGAAGCUCUCUUCCGACCCUGGUGUCUAUGAUCCAUGGUCUAAGUUCCCAUGAAGUGCCCUCCCCACUUGUCAGGAGGAUCCUCUUCAACAGCAGACUUGACUGUGACCCCAGAGACUGUGGGGAAGCUGCCCUCACUGUCACAUGGCUCCAUAUCCUUGCCUACCAUAUGUUCCCAUCUAUGCUGCUGUUGUAGUACACAGGACCGCUCUCUGUCAUCAAAGGAACACUGAGCUUGAAAGUAACAGCUAAGGUGGGAAUGAAAGAUUCAGGACCAGUAGCCUCAGCUACCCAGGAUCAGCUGAAGUACAAAGGUUGUGCAUCAAGGCAAGCAAGGAGUUAGCCUAUCACACACUACUAUGCUGGAGGAGCCAAAGAAGAGAAAAGACACCAAGACUUAUUGUGUUUCUAACUUCAUUUUUCUGGCUUUUUGGUGACCCAGUGACUGAGAAGCCUCCAGGAAAAUAACAGAGCAAAAACCCUAACACCUGUCUCUUUUCUGUACCCUCAAAAGACACCAACUCAUUAGUCUGCAGAAUGAGGGCUGAGUCAGUCGGGGAAGGAAAGCUGCUUUCUUUUCCAGCAGAGCUGGGCAUUGUGGGUUGCAGGGACUCCUUGGGAGGUGGUUUGCUCCAGGCUAGCAGGGAACCUAGUCCUUGUAGAGUGAGGCCACCCUGAGCCCAGGUCAGGCCAAGGUCUUGCUAGAGUCAGGCAGCAGAGCUGUAGGCUGGGUUCAGAUUACAAUGUGGAGACCAGAAGCCCUCUUGGUAUCUGAGAAUUGGAACAGGAUUGGGGUCUAGAAAGGAAUGGAUUAUGUUGUCCAGGACGCACUCUUGGAACUCAGCAGCAUGAGGCUUUGCCAUACCACUCUUAUCUCUUGUUCUUGAGGGACGAAGAGGAAGAUUUGUGUCUUGGACUAUUAUUUUGUCUUUCUCUCACUACGGAUCCAUCAGGGCUGAAUCUGCUCAUGUGCAAACUAGUACAGAAAUGUGUACAGGGAGAUGGUUAGUUUUACUCAAUUUUACAAAAGGUUUUACUUGAUUUUACAAAACAAUUAGAUAUGUUUUCAUUAAAUGAUGCGUUGGGAGGGGGAAAUAGAGAAAUCCUCAAACUUGGAGGACAGGGAAGGAAUAAAGACAAAUCAUAGAAUUUUGGCAUGCACUUAAUACCAUAUUUUAAGAACAAAAUUAAACUGUUCUUUGGAUCUAAUCAUAAGGUCUCCCUAAGAACAUAGACACACAUGUCAAACAGAAACCGGACACACUAAAUUAGCGCCCAGACCCACAGUCUAAAAUAUAGGCAUACAAUUUGAAUACCAAUUAUCCCUUCACCAAACCUAGCAAAUAACAAGCUUUACUGAGUAAGAUGGUCUCAUUUUGAUUCACUCUGCUCUUGCAAUCUUUGUAGCCAGCAGUGAUUUAACAUAUCUUCUCAUAGCUUCUUUCUCUCUCAGGAAAGAAGUUGUUCCCAAAGCUAAGCAGAAGUCUUGGCAGAGGUCUCUAAGGUUGCCCCAUUAUAGACUGCGGGGCUCAGAUGAACUCUCUCAUUUCUAUUCUGGAUGCGGUUGCAUGCAUAUUAGCCCACAGGUGCAUGCUUUUUAUUUUUAAAAAAUCACAAGGGAAGUAGGGUUAGGCCUUGGAACAAUUUGUUCCAUAGAACUGAGUGAAUCAUCGUCUAUAAUGAGCAGUGUUGGCCAGAGCUGCCAAACACUGAACAGUUCUGUUCAUCAAUUAUGCAGGGACCCACUGCUUACCAAGGACAGCCAUUAGCAUAGUCAGGGCUGAUUGGCUCUUGGUCAGGGCCUAGUAGAAGGAUACAGACCUUCUUGCCCUUCUGAUUCAACAGCGGUGUGCAUUUUCAGGGGGAAAUAAGGGGCUCAGAGAAGGAGAAUUUCAACCGUGAGUUCUCUUCCCUUGACCAAGGCUCCCUGCUACAUGAUGUGGCCAUUCUUUUGUAAGGACCAGGAAUCUGAAGGGAGUUCCUCACUCCCAGAGCAUCUCUGGUUCAGGCACCACAUGUCUAGGAUUGUGCCAAGUCUUUGCUACUCAAAUUAUAGGCUGUGGAAUGUGCUUGGGGCUUGCUAGAAAUGUGGACUGUCAACUCCACCAAGACCUAAAAGGUCAACGUUUGUGUUAAUUGAAGUUUUAGAGCUCUGUAGGAAGUGACAUAGUACUAGGUGUGGGGAAUAUAAAGAAUUUGGCUCUGUCUUUUCAGAGCUGAAAUCUGAGGUGGGGAAGGACUGAUGAAUUAGAUGAGAACUCAUUCCACCAGGAUAGCUGUGUAGAGGUCUGUACUGAUCAUAGAUAACAAAAGGGACAGUGGUGAACUCCACCCAAGGAGAAGGGCAUACUGAGAGGUAAUGAUUUACCAGGCAAAGACAAAACAGCUCCAUCCUAUCACCCCACCCGGGAGGGUUGUCUCCUGACAUUGUUUAGUGCUGCUGUGGAUUCCUUUGGAUUUUGCCAUUCACCUUUCCAGUGGUUGUCACUUCUGCUAACACUGCUUCUUCUCCGUGUUCAUUUUAGAACUCUUCUUUACUCUACAAAGCCCUCCUCUGGGAUUCUGUUGUCUGUGGAACCUUCAGUAGACUACUCCUGGAGAGAAUUAAUAAUUUUCUACUUUGGUCUAGUCUUGCACUUUUAAAUAUACUGGGUUCUACCAGUAUUUGUUUCUGUCAGAUUCUGUUUUAUGUGUCAGUCUAUUGUCAUCAUUUGCUUAAUGUGGCCUUUAAAAUGGUGGUUCUAAGUGUAUUCUUUGCAUGCAGGAAACAUAUUGAUUUGAAUCUCCACAUUGGCACAUAAAAGGAUUACAAGGUUGUUUUCAAAAUUAACUGGGAAAAGUCUUGAAGGCAUGGAGGCACUGGGUGUGUGGAGCUGUGGUCCAGAUUCAGCACAGAGUGAGGAGACACGACUAUCUUCUGUGGCAGGGAUGUGGAGGCUGAAUCAAGAGAAUCUUUCAAUGCUCCACUAGGAGCUGGAGUCUGAACUCUGAGAAGCCAUGAACCCAUGGUCACAGCAGGGCAGCCAGGUAACCCGGAUGAUGGUUGGACAAUUGGGAGGGAAAAUAGUCGGUACUCUGACUGGGCGGGUGACGUAGUAGUAGAGUGCUUGUUUAGCAUACACCAAGCUCUGGGUUCAAUUCCCCAGCACUUUCAGAAACAAACUGAAAUCCGGUAGUAGAUAUGUGGCAUUAGCAAGUGACCUUACAGUCGCAAGAUCAAGGCUUGGGCCAGGGCACUGUUGGAAAGGCAAGCAAGCUUCAGCAGAGCAGACACAGGUGGGUGUUGACAAAUUCAACUUUCUGGUGAACUCGGAGUAAAUGAAAAGUCAUCCUUUUGGUCUUUACCAGUAUUGACGAGUCUUUCUACAAUGCCUUCUUUCCUACCCAAGUCAUACACUAGACAGAGCAUAGUGUCUGGCCUUUGGGUGCAUUUCCACAUUACAGAGACUACAGACACAGAUCGCUAAAGAAUAGAUAAUGGUGAAAUAAUUAUGCAGUGACUGUAUGCACAUCAGUCUUCCUGGGCCUUAGAAUCCUUCUGUGAAGCUGAGGCAUUUUUCUAUGCACUCAUAGUGGCCAGGCAAACUGAUGCAGCCACUGUGGAACCCAGCUAAUUCAAAAAGAAGGGGAAAUGGUUACCCCAUCACCCAUCACUCCCAUAACCAGUAGAACUAAAAUAUGUUCAAAUGGAACCCAUGCAUUAAUGUUCAUAGCAACUCGAUUCAUCAGGGCAAAAAAGUGGGAAUAAUCCAAUGCCCAUCGACUGCUGAUAUAUUUAAAAUGUAGUAUAUUCAUCCCAUGGACUGGAUUGUUGAUAAAAGCAAAUGAUGUGCUGAUACGUGCUGCAACAUGGUGAACCUCGAAAAUCUUGAAAGAUAAGGUGAGAAAAAGCCAGAGGCUAGUGGUCUCACAUUUAGGAUUCCAUUGUAUGGAAUGCUUAGAACAGGUGAAACCCAGAGACAAACAGUGGAGGCUGUGAAGGGGAGAAAUGGGGAGAAAUGUUUAGUGGGUCCACACUUUCUUUAUGGAGUGAUAAAAAUAUUCUGGCCUAAGUCAUGAUGGCUGCACAACUUGUGGGUUUACUAAAAACCACUGAAAUAUGUGCCUUGAAAUGGUUAAAAAUGGAUGAAUUUUAUGUGAUAUAGAUUUUUAUCUCAAUAUUUAAAAAAUGAAGUGAAACUUAAAUGUCUCAAAGAUUUCUUGGAGCUCCUAUUCCAAUGUAAGGAAAUAUUUCUAAUGCCUAGUAAGUGUUCAAUAAAUAUGUGUGAAUUGAGGUGGAAGAAACAAGAUGUGUCUGCAGGGUUAGCCAAUUCCCUGCUUGUGGAGCUAUGUGGUCUGAUGACAUCUGCCAGAUCCUUGCAUAGUGUGGCCCUUGGGACAGGGUCUCCUUUAUAGGAAUCCAUUUCAUGGGAGAUGUGCUGGCAUGGGCAUAACAACCCAUCUGUCAGAAAAAAAUUAAAAAUGUGAUAUACAUGUAUUUAUUUAUAAACAGUGUGUAGCUUAAUUUACAGAUAAUAAUGAAAUAUAGAAUGCUUUCUGCUGUAAUUCCCAUUUAGCCAAAUGAUGUUCACAGAAUGUUUUGAUGACUUUUGCUGAACUCUUAUAUUUGCACCCAAGCCAUGAUUGCAAUUGAACUAUUAUUUAGCAAAUGAAGUUGUGUAUCAUUCUCUAACUCUGUUUCCAAUAAAUUUAUUGUCAUUACUCUGAUAUAUAAUCACUCUACUAAAUUAUUUCUAACUCAAGUAAAAUUAUACCCAUUAAGUUGAAACCUCCUUCUGUUUUGGCACUGUACAUGUCCAAAUUUUGCUUAUUUGCAGUGCUUUGAACAAUUUCUCAGCUAAAUUGGAUCAUAAUUUUUUGAAUACUGGAGAAAUAUUUCUUUCAGCAGCACUGGCCAUUUGAGAGAUACAAAUUUAAACGACCCUGAGAUUUCACUGAGAUGGCUGCUAUUAAAAAAUCAAUCAAUAAUGAGUGCUGGAGGGGCUGCAGGGAAAAAGGAACCCUUCUCUAUUGCUGGUGGGAACGCAGGCUGGUGUAACUACUGUGGAAAUCAGUGUGGAGAUUCCUCAAAAAAGUAGAAUGGAAGGUCUCAUUCAGCCCAGCUAUUCCUCCUGCUCGGUAUCUUCCCAAAAGAAUUAAAAACAUCAUACCACAGUGAUGUAUGUGUACCCAUGUUUAUAGCAGCAUAGCAUGUCUUGGAAACAACCUAAAUACCCAUCAACUGAGGAAUGGAUAAAAAAGAUGUGGUAGUUCUUUACGGCUGUAUACUAUUCAGCCAUAAAGAAUGAUAAACUGGACAUUUUUAUAGGUAAAUGAAUGUGCCUUGAAAACAUAUUUACAUUGUGAAAUAAAUAUGUCACACAUGCAUAAUCAUCACAUUGUUUCAUUAGUAUGAUAAGGAAAAUAUGUGUAUUUUGUCCCAGAGAGAAUGACUUCUGCCAAGCAAUGACUCAGGCCACAGCUGCCUUCACUUUAACUAACCCACUGUGAACCAUUUUUAGUUGACUUUUGGGUAUCUUGAGUUAUUUUUGAUGUGCUAUAAGGUUUGGGAUUUUUGCACGUGAAUAUCCAGUUGUUCCAGUAUAUUUAUUGAGGAUACAAUCCUUCCUCCACUUAAAUGCUUUUGCAUAUUUGCCAGAAAUCAAUUGUCUGUUAUGUAGGUAUCUAUUUUGGGAUUUUAUAUUGGUACUUUGGGGUCUGUCUACCUUGAUAUCAAUGCUAUUUUGUCAUGAUUGGUGUAACUUUGUGAUAAGUUGUGGGAUUGGGGAGCGUUGGAGCUCUAAUUUUGUUCUUUUAUCAAAGUUGUUUAGACUAUUCUGAGUCUCUUAUUUUUACAUAAAUGUAAGAAUCACAGUGUUAAUCUGUAUGAAAAAUGACGUUGACAGUUUGACGAGGGAUUGUGUUUUCUGAUCUUUGUUAUUUUCUUCUAUUCAUCUUUGGUUUCAUUCUGUCUUUUAGUUUUAAUAAAAAAGAAAUAUGUCUUCAGUU